rnacentral:rRNA from 1 species
GGAUGCGAUCAUACCAGCACUAAAGCACCGGAUCCCAUCAGAACUCCGAAGUUAAGCGUGCUUGGGCGAGAGUAGUACUAGGAUGGGUGACCUCCUGGGAAGUCCUCCUGUUGCAUUCC